rnacentral:rRNA from 1 species
GAUCCGUAGGUGAACCUGCGGUGGGAUCAUUACA